rnacentral:tRNA from 1 species
GGGCCCGUAGCUCAGGCUGGUAGAGCACUUGGCUUUUAACCAAGGUGUCGUGGGUUCGAAUCCCACCGGGCUCG